AACGAACGCUGGCGGCAUGCCUAACACAUGCAAGUCGAACGAGACCUUCGGGUCUAGUGGCGCACGGGUUCGUAACGCGUGGGAACCUGCCCUUAGGUUCGGAAUAACUCCCCGAAAGGGGUGCUAAUACCGGAUAAUGUCUUCGGACCAAAGAUUUAUCGCCUUUGGAUGGGCCCGCGUUGGAUUAGCUAGUUGGUAGGGUAAAAGCCUACCAAGGCGACGAUCCAUAGCUGGUCUGAGAGGAUGAUCAGACACACUGGGACUGAGACACGGCCCAGACUCCUACGGGAGGCAGCAGUGGGGAAUAUUGGACAAUGGGCGAAAGCCUGAUCCAGCAAUGCCGCGUGAGUGAUGAAGGCCUUAGGGUUGUAAAGCUCUUUUACCCGGGAUGAUAAUGACAGUACCGGGAGAAUAAGCUCCGGCUAACUCCGUG
rnacentral:rRNA from 1 species